UGAGGAAUAUUGGUCAAUGGGCGAGAGCCUGAACCAGCCAAAUCGCGUGAAGGAAGACUGCCUUAUGGGUUGUAAACUUCUUUUAUACAGGAAUAAAAAAGGGGACGUGUCCCUUAUUGCAUGUACUGUAUGAAUAAGCAUCGGCUAACUCCGUGCCAGCAGCCGCGGUAAUACGGAGGAUGCGAGCGUUAUCCGGAUUUAUUGGGUUUAAAGGGUGCGCAGGCGGGCUUUUAAGUCAGCGGUGAAAUCUCGGGGCUUAACUCCGAAACUGCCGUUGAAACUGGGAGUCUUGAGUAUGGAUGAAGUAGGCGGAAUUCGUUGUGUAGCGGUGACAUGCUUAGAUAUAACGAGGAACUCCGAUUGCGUAGGCAGCUUACUAAGCCAUAACUGACGCUCAAGCACGAAAGCGUGGGGAUCAAACAGAUUAGAUACCCCUGGUAGUCCACGCCGUAAACGAUGAUUACUAGUUGUAUGCGAUAUACCGUAUGUGACUAAGCGAAAGCGAUAAGUAAUCCACCUGGGGAGUACGCCGGCAACGGUGAAACUUAAAUGAAUUGACGGGGUCAUAGCUGUUUCCUG
rnacentral:rRNA from 1 species